CGUUACUCAUGCGAUCAACUGAAAUUACUUUGAGUGGCCGAGGUUGUGCAACAAUGGUCUCGUUGUUAACAUCAAUGUCUGAGUGCCUUCGCUCCUCUGGCAGGAUGAAGUCUUUCCGUGCUAAAUUCACAGAAACCACUGUAAAUCACAGACUGUGACGACUUAGACGUUUAAAUCACAAGAACAAUUGACAUGAAGGCAACUACAAAAGGAUUGGAAUCGGCAACGCAAGUAAAACUACUCCAGAAACACAGCAAAUGGAACCAACUAUCUUACCAAGAAUCGAUGACGGCACGACGUCCCCGUAACUACACGGUGAUAAACAUAAUACAACAUAUAUAUUAGAACGAUUGAAUCACUCGAUUAAUUACGACACAGAGCAAUUUCUAGCUAACGAGAAACAUAUUUACGUUGCAGCUACGUUAAGUAUAUACAGUUGAUACGAAUAAAA